rnacentral:tRNA from 3 species
GGGGUUAUAGCUCAGCUGGAUAGAGCAACAGAUUCCUAAUCUGUAGGCCGGCGGUUCAAAUCCGCCUAACCCCACCA